rnacentral:rRNA from 1 species
UACGGGGGGGGCAAGCGUUGUUCGGAAUUACUGGGCGUAAAGGGCUCGUAGGCGGCCAACUAAGUCAGACGUGAAAUCCCUCGGCUUAACCGGGGAACUGCGUCUGAUACUGGAUGGCUUGAGUUCGGGAGAGGGAUGCGGAAUUCCAGGUGUAGCGGUGAAAUGCGUAGAUAUCUGGAGGAACACCGGUGGCGAAGGCGGCAUCCUGGACCAUUACUGACACUGAAUAGCGAAAGCCAGGGGAGCAAACGGG